GACGAACGCUGGCGGCGUGCUUAACACAUGCAAGUCGAGCGGAGAAGCCCGGUACUUGUAGGAUGCGGGUGAGCAGCGAGCGGGUGAGUAACGCGUGGGGCAUCUGCUUUUGAGCGGGGGACAACCAGGGGACAGGGACUAUAAUACCGCAUAAAAACUUGAAACACAGGGUGUGAGGGUGAAAGACGGAAUUGCGUCACGGACUGACGAUUUCGCGGCGUGUUAGCUAGUUGGUGGGGUAAAGGCUCACCAAGGGGAAGACAGAUAGCGAAAGUGAGAGGGUGAUAGGCCACAUUGGGACUGGGACACGGCCCAUACGCCUAAGGGAGGCAGCAGUAGGGAAUGUUCGGCAAUGGGCGAAAGUCUGACCGAGCGACGCCGCGUGAGUGAAGAAGGCGUUCGGAUCGUAAAACUCUGUUUGUAGGGAAGAACCGCUGUGGGAUGGGACGGCGCGUGAGUGAAGGUAAAGUACCAAGAAGCACCGGCUAACUACGUG
rnacentral:rRNA from 1 species